GAUGAAGAACGUAGCGAAAUGCGAUAAGUAAUGUGAAUUGCAGAAUUCAGUGAAUCAUCGAAUCUUUGAACGCACAUUGCGCCCGCCAGUAUUCUGGCGGGCAUGCCUGUUCGAGCGUCAUUUCAACCAUCAAGCCCCGGGCUUGUGUUGGGGACCUGCGGCUGCCGCAGGCCCUGAAAUGCAGUGGCGGGCUCGCUGUCACUCCGAGCGUAGUAGUUACAUCUCGCUCUGGGCGUGCUGCGGGUUCCGGCCGUUAAAAGCCUUAUUUACCCAAGGUUGACCUCGGAUCAGGUAGGAAGACCCGCUGAACUUAAGCAUAUCAAUAAGCGGAGA
rnacentral:misc_RNA from 1 species